CGUGUAGGCGGCCUGAUAAGUCAGACGUGAAAGCCCGCGGCUUAACCGCGGGACUGCGUUUGAAACUAUAAGGCUUGAGGAUCGGAGAGGGCAGUGGAAUUCCCAGUGUAGCGGUGAAAUGCGUAGAUAUUGGGAGGAACACCAGUGGCGAAGGCGACUGCCUGGACGACACCUGACGCUGAGGCGCGAAAGCUAGGGGAGCAAACGGGAUUAGAUACCCCGGUAGUCCUAGCCGUAAACGAUGGGUACUAGGUGUGGGAGGUAUCGACCCCUUCCGUGCCGCAGUUAACACAAUAAGUACCCCGCCUGGGGAGUACGGCCGCAAGGUUGAA
rnacentral:rRNA from 1 species